CCUACGGGUGGCUGCAGUAGGGAAUAUUGCUCAAUGGGGGAAACCCUGAAGCAGCAACGCCGCGUGGAGGAUGAAGGUUUUAGGAUUUUAAACUCCUUUUGUGAGAGGAGAUAAUGACGGUAUCUCACGAAUAAGCACCGGCUAACUCCGUGCCAGCAGCCGCGGUAAUGCGGAGGGUGCAAGCGUUACACGGAAUCAGUGGGCGUAAAGAGUGCGCAGGCGGGUUUGUAAGUCAGAUGUGAAAUCCUGUAGCUUAACUAUAAAACUGCAUUUGAAACUAUGAGUCUAGAGUGUGUGAGAGGUAGGUGGAAUUCUUGGUGUAGGGGUAAAAUGCGUAGAUAUCAAGAAGAAUACUCAUUGCGAAGGCGACCUACUGGAACAUUACUGACGCUCAUGCACGAAAGCGUGGGGAGCAAACAGGAUUAGAUACCCGAGUAGUC
rnacentral:rRNA from 1 species